GUUUGAUCCUGGCUCAGGACGAACGCUGGCGGCAGGCUUAACACAUGCAAGUCGAACGCUCUCUUCGGAGAGAGUGGCAGACGGGUGAGUAACGCGUGGGAAUCUACCCAGUACUACGGAACAACAGUUAGAAAUGACUGCUAAUACCAUAUACGCCCUCCGGGGGAAAGAUUUAUCGGUAUUGGAUGAGCCCGCGUUUGAUUAGCUAGUUGGUGAGGUAAUGGCUCACCAAGGCGACGAUCAAUAGCUGGUCUGAGAGGAUGAUCAGCCACACUGGGACUGAGACACGGCCCAGACUCCUACGGGAGGCAGCAGUGGGGAAUAUUGGACAAUGGGCGAAAGCCUGAUCCAGCCAUGCCGCGUGUGUGAUGAAGGCCCUAGGGUUGUAAAGCACUUUCAACGGUGAAGAUAAUGACGGUAACCGUAGAAGAAGCUCCGGCUAACUUCGUGCCAGCAGCCGCGGUAAUAAGG
rnacentral:rRNA from 1 species